UAAAGUUUUGGUCCUAAACUUGCCAUUGUUUUUUACCAGAAUUACACAUGCAAGCCUCAGCACACCAGUGAGAAUGCCCACGAACACCCAAACAGCUUAACGGAGCAGGCAUCAGGAUCGGACUCCAGCCUAAGACGCCUUGCUAUGCCACACCCACACGGGCUCCAGCAGUGAUUAACAUUAAAACAUGAGCGAAAGCUCGAUUUAGCCAUGGUUUAUUUGGGUCGGUAAAUUUCGUGCCAGCCACCGCGGUUAUACGAGAGACCCUAGACAAUGGCCCACGGCGUAAAGCGUGACUAGAGCAGAGUCAAAAAACUAAAGGACAAUCACUGCCCUGCUGUAAAACGCUAUCGCAAGUGAGAACAACACCAACAAGAUGCCUUUAGACAACUGGACUUCUUAACCUCACGAAAGCUAAGAACCAAACUGGGAUUAGAUACCCCACUAUGCUUAGCCCUAAACCUAGGUAGAACCUAUACAACUCUACCCGCCAGAGAACUACAAGUGAAAAACUAGAAACUCUAAGGACUUGGCGGUGCUCCACACCAACCUAGAGGAGCCUGUCCUAUAAUCGAUACCCCACGUUAUACCUCACCAUUUCUUGCCCAUCAGCCUAUAUACCGCCGUCGCCAGCCUACCUCAUGAGAGCUUAACAGUAGGCAAAAGAGUUAAUAACUAAAACGUCAGGUCAAGGUGUAGCUCAUGAAGUGGAAGAGAUGGGCUACAUUUUCUGCCACAGAAAACAUCGAACGGCACAAUGAAACUCGUACCCAAAGGCGGAUUUAGCAGUAAGAUAUAUAAGACAAUAUAUCUUAAGCCUGCUCUGGAGCGCGCACACACCGCCCGUCACCCUCGUCAA
rnacentral:ncRNA from 1 species